UUAUGCUGAUAAGAGCGUAUGGUGGAUGCCUUGGCACUAAGAGCCGAUGAAAGACGUGAUAAGCUGCGAAAAGCUUCGGGGAGGGGCAAAUACCCAUCGAUCCGGAGAUUUCUGAAUGGGGAAACCUAACUGAGCAAACCUCAGUUAUCCUGACGCCAAUCCAUAACGUCAGGAAGGGAACCCGGUGAACUGAAACAUCUAAGUAGCCGGAGGAAGAGAAAACAACAUGUGAUUCUGUGAGUAGCGGCGAGCGAAAACGGAAGAGCCCAAACCGGGAUGCGUGCAUCCCGGGGUUCGGACCGCGGAAUUGAUUCAACAAGUUUAGCAGAACAGUUUUGGGAAAGCUGACCAAAGAGGGUGAAAGUCCCGUAAGCGAAAGGCGAGUUGACAUGGCGGUAUCCAGAGUAGGUCGAGACACGUGGAACCUUGACUGAAUAUGCGGGGACCACCCCGUAAGGCUAAAUACUCCUUAGUGACCGAUAGCGCAUAGUACUGUGAAGGAAAGGUGAAAAGGACCCCGGGAGGGGAGUGAAAAAGAACCUGAAACCAUAUGUUUACAAGCUGUGGAACAUCUUUAUAUGAUGAACCGCGUACUUUUUGUAGAACGGUCCGGCGAGUUACGCUGGCUGGCGAGGUUAAGCACUGAAGGUGCGGAGCCGAAGGGAAACCAAGUCUGAACAGGGCGAAAGUCAGUCGGAGUAGACCCGAAACCGGGUGAUCUAUCCAUGUCCAGGUUGAAGUUGCCGUAAAAGGCAAUGGAGGACCGAACCCACAUCCGUUGAAAAGGGUGGGGAUGAGGUGUGGAUAGGGGAGAAAUUCCAAUCGAACCCGGAGAUAGCUGGUUCUCCUCGAAAUAGCUUUAGGGCUAGCCUCAUACAAGUCUUGCGGAGGUAGAGCACUGAAUUCCUACGGGGGCGUCAAAGCUUACCAAGGGAUAUCAAACUCCGAAUGCCGUGUAGAUGAUGUAUGGGAGUCAGACUAUCCGAGAUAAGUUGGGUAGUCGAAAGGGAAAGAGCCCAGACCUGCAGCUAAGGCCCCAAAAUGUGUGUUAAGUGGAAAAGGAUGUGGGAUUUCGAAGACAACUAGGAUGUUGGCUUAGAAGCAGCCAUCCAUUAAAAGAGUGCGUAAUAGCUCACUAGUCGAGAGGUCCUGCGCCGAAAAUGUCCGGGGCUGAAACACACUGCCGAAGCUCAGGGAUGAACAGUGAUCAAUACAGAUCAAUGCAAGAGGAAAGCUUCUUGAUGAAAUCAAGAAGAUUCCAAAACAGAUGAAACAGACUGCUGUUGGUCUGCGUUGAUCACUGUUCAUCGGUAGAGGAGCAUUCUUAAAGAGACGAAGCUGUACCGAAAGGAGCAGUGGAUUUUUAAGAAGAGAGAAUGCCGGAAUGAGUAGCGAGAAAGAGGUGAGAAUCCUCUUGGCCGAAUAUCUAAGGUUUCCAGGGUAAAGCUGAUCUGCCCUGGGUAAGUCGGGGCCUAAGGCGAGGUCGAAAGACGUAGUCGAUGGAUAACAGGUUGAAAUUCCUGUACUAUCCUGUAACAGAACUGUGGGGACGCAGACAGAGAGCACAAGCCGGGAAUGGAAAGACCGGUGCAAGCGAGGUAGGAGUACAUCAGGCAAAUCCGGUGUGCAAUCCGAAGACGUGAUGCGGAUCGAAAAGAAGUAGAGAAGUGUGUGAGCUGGCUGCCAAGAAAAGCCGCUAUUGUUUACAGGAUACCCGUACCGUAAACCGACACAGGUGGAUGAGGAGAGAAUCCUAAGGCCGACGGGAGAAGCAUUGUUAAGGAACUCGGCAAAAUGACUCCGUAACUUCGGGAGAAGGAGUGCCAUGCGAAUGGCCGCAGAGAAUUGGCCCAAGCAACUGUUUAGCAAAAACACAGGUCUAUGCGAAACCGAAAGGUGAGGUAUAUGGGCUGACGCCUGCCCGGUGCUGGAAGGUUAAGGGGAGAGGUUAGCGCAAGCGAAGCUUUGAACUUAAGCCCCAGUAAACGGCGGCCGUAACUAUAACGGUCCUAAGGUAGCGAAAUUCCUUGUCGGGUAAGUUCCGACCCGCACGAAAGGCGUAAUGAUUUGGGCACUGUCUCAACAAUGCACCCGGUGAAAUUGAAAUACCAGUGAAGAUGCUGGUUACCUGCGCCAGGACGGAAAGACCCCAUGGAGCUUUACUCUAGCUUGAUACUGGGAUUCGAUAUUGCAUGUACAGGAUAGGUGGGAGACUAGGA
rnacentral:rRNA from 1 species